AUGGGUGUCUUUUUAACCCCGCAGGGCUGCUGUUGGGUAAAGUAUAAAACCCGACACGUUUCACGGGUUCAACCCCGUUUCAACAAUACCCGAACCCAAAACCCGCCAUCCCCGUCAAAAUAUACAGUAAGCAUAUUUGAGGAGUACAAUCUUGAGAGUGAUGAUGAUCAUGGACAGCCAUCUUACUCAUUCUCUUCUUUGCAAGCUCCAGAUCUUAUGUCACUCUUCAAUGAACUUGUUGCUCAAAAAUGGCCAACAUCUUUUAGGAUGAAAUCUGAGCUAGACCGUUACUUGGAAGAUGAGCUAGUUCCAUUGUCCAAAGAUAAAUUCAGUGUGUUAGAUUGGUAG
rnacentral:rRNA from 1 species